GAUGAACGCUGGCGGCGUGCUUAACACAUGCAAGUCGAACGAAGCACCUUAUUUGAUUUCCUUCGGGAGUGAUCAUUUUGUGACUGAGUGGCGGACGGGUGAGUAACGCGUGGGUAACCUGCCUUGUACUGGGGGAUAACACUUGGAAACGGCUGCUAAUACCGCAUAAGCGCCCAGCGUCGCAUGAUGCUGUGUGGAAAACUCCGGUGGUAUACGAUGGACCUGCGUUGGGUUAGCUAGUUGGUGAGGUAACGGCCCACCAAGGCGAAGAUCCAUAGCCGACCGGGGAGGGUGACCGGCAAAAUUGGGACAGGGACAAGGGCCGAACUCCGGCGGGAGGGAGCAAGGGGGAAUAAUGCACAAUGGGCGGAAGCCGGAUGCAGCGGGGCCGCGUGAGCGAAGAAGUGUUUCGGAAAGUAAGCUGUAUCAGCAGGGAAGGUAAUGACGGUACCUGAAGAAGAAGCACCGGCUAACUACGUG
rnacentral:rRNA from 1 species